UACGUAGGGGGCAAGCGUUGUCCGGAAUCAUUGGGCGUAAAGAGCGUGUAGGCGGCCAGAUAAGUCCGCUGUGAAAUCUCGAGGCUCAACUUCGAGCUGUCGGUGGAAACUGUCUGGCUAGAGUCCGGAAGAGGAGAAUGGAAUUCCUGGUGUAGCGGUGAAAUGCGCAGAUAUCAGGAGGAACACCGGUGGCGAAGGCGCUGCUCUGGGCCGGUACUGACGCUGAGGAGCGAAAGCGUGGGUAGCAAACAGG
rnacentral:rRNA from 1 species